rfam:Triticum aestivum genome assembly, contig: Triticum_aestivum_CS42_TGACv1_scaffold_571575_7AS
CAACUACUCCCUCUGUCCCAAAUUUCUUGUCUUAGAUUUGUCUAGAUAUGGAUGUAUCUAAUACUAAAAUGUGACUUGAUACAUCCGUAUCUAGACAAAUCUAAGACAAGAAUUUUGGGAUGGAGGGGUACUUU